UAUUUCAGCUGGUGGAGAUCUGCUAGUUUCUUCAACAUCGUCAUCAAGAUGUAAGCUUCAUAUUCUCAAAUGGUCUAAUAUUAAAGAGAUGAACCCCAUUCAUAUGGAACAAGCCCACAAGAGCAAUUGACUUGAAAUUCAAGCUUCAAAAGAAUAUGGAGUUAAUGAAGAAAUAAGAGAAGUAAUCAAAGGACAGACCGUCUCACAAUACACACGGGAAAACAGUUCUUCCAAGGAGGUGCUGAACACUUGAAUUAAGGUAUUUACUAUAUUCCCAACUAUUUACAAAUAAUGUAUUUCAAGCUUUGAUCUAAAACUGACCAAUUUAUUUUUUUAAUUUUAAAAGUUGUUUGGAAUGCAAACCAUUGCCUCUAUGCAACCAAAUAUCUACUUAGGAGGGAAAAUGACCUCUCUAACAGGCAGGACUCCUAUGGUUAAAAUAGUAUUCUACCUUGUCAGCCUUCAACAAUCCACUUAAAGAUAAAGGGUCAGUAGAGUUAGGCAGCAAGAUAAUUACUGCUUGCCUUGGUAUGAUAUGUGAAGUAUAUUCUAGCUAACUUGGACUACUUAUGGGGGACGCCAGCUUGAAUUGUGGAAAGU